CUACGUAGCUCAGAGUUUGAUCCUGGCUCAGGAUGAACGCUGGCGGCGUGCCUAACACAUGCAAGUCGAGCGGGAUUUUCCGGAUUGAAACUUCGGUCGAAAGAAGGGAAUGAGAGCGGCGGACGGGUGAGUAACGCGUAGGCAACCUGCCCCUUGCAGAGGGAUAGCCACUGGAAACGGUGAUUAAAACCUCAUAAUGCCACUUUAAGACAUCUUUUAGUGGCCAAAGAUUUAUCGGCAAGGGAUGGGCCUGCGUCUGAUUAGCUAGUUGGUGAGGUAACGGCCUACCAAGGCGACGAUCAGUAGCCGACCUGAGAGGGUGAUCGGCCACAUUGGAACUGAGACACGGUCCAA
rnacentral:rRNA from 1 species